UACGGAGGGGACUAGCGUUGUUCGGAAUCACUGGGCGUAAAGCGCACGUAGGCGGAUUUGUGAGUCAGGGGUGAAAUCCCGGGGCUCAACUUCGGAACUGCCUUUGAUACUGCGAAUCUCGAGUCCGGAAGAGGUGAGUGGAAUUCCUAGUGUAGAGGUGAAAUUCGUAGAUAUUAGGAAGAACACCAGUGGCGAAGGCGGCUCGCUGGUCCGGUACUGACGCUGAGGUGCGAAAGCGUGGGGAGCAAACAGG
rnacentral:rRNA from 1 species